rnacentral:rRNA from 1 species
GUGACCUCAAAUCAGGUAGGACUACCCGCUGAACUUAAGCAUAUCAAUAAGCGGAGGAAAAGAAACUAACAAGGAUUCCCCUAGUAACUGCGAGUGAAGCGGGAAAAGCUCAAAUUUAAAAUCUGGCAGUCUUUGGCUGUCCGAGUUGUAAUCUAGAGAAGUGUUAUCCGCGCUGGACCGUGUACAAGUCUCCUGGAAUGGAGCGUCAUAGAGGGUGAGAAUCCCGUCUUUGACACGGACUACCAGGGCUUUGUGAUGCGCUCUCAAAGAGUCGAGUUGUUUGGGAAUGCAGCUCAAAAUGGGUGGUAAAUUCCAUCUAAAGCUAAAUAUUGGCGAGAGACCGAUAGCGAACAAGUACCGUGAGGGAAAGAUGAAAAGAACUUUGGAAAGAGAGUUAAACAGUACGUGAAAUUGCUGAAAGGGAAACGCUUGAAGUCAGUCGCGUUGUCCAGGGAUCAACCUUGCUUUUGCUUGGUGCACUUUCUGGUUGACGGGUCAGCAUCAAUUUUGACCAUUGGAAAAAGAUCAAGGGAAUGUGACAUCCUUGGAUGUGUUAUAGCCCUUGGUUGCAUACAGUGGUUGGGAUUGAGGAACUCAGCACGCCGCAAGGCCGGGUUUUUAACCACGUACGUGCUUAGGAUGCUGGCAUAAUGGCUUUAAUCGACCCGUC